UACAGAGGUCUCAAGCGUUGUUCGGAUUCAUUGGGCGUAAAGGGUGCGUAGGCGGCGCGGUAAGUCGGGGUGUGAAAUCUCGGAGCUUAACUCCGAAACUGCAUUCGAUACUGCCGUGCUUGAGGACUGGAGAGGAGACUGGAAUUUUACGGUGUAGCGGUGAAAAUGCGUAGAUAUCGUGAGGAAGACCAGUGGCGAAAGCGAAUCUCUGGACAGAUCCUGACGCUGAUGCACGAAGGCUAGGGGAGCAAACGGG
rnacentral:rRNA from 1 species